rnacentral:rRNA from 1 species
GUUAAGCGACUAAGCGUACACGGUGGAUGCCCUGGCAGUCAGAGGCGAUGAAGGACGUGCUAAUCUGCGAUAAGCGUCGGUAAGGUGAUAUGAACCGUUAUAACCGGCGAUUUCCGAAUGGGGAAACCCAGUGUGAUUCGUCACACUAUCAUUAACUGAAUCCAUAGGUUAAUGAGGCGAACCGGGGGAACUGAAACAUCUAAGUACCCCGAGGAAAAGAAAUCAACCGAGAUUCCCCCAGUAGCGGCGAGCGAACGGGGAGGAGCCCAGAGCCUGAAUCAGUGUGUGUGUUAGUGGAAGCGUCUGGAAAGGCGCGCGAUACAGGGUGACAGCC